rnacentral:rRNA from 1 species
AUUGAACGCUAGCGGGAUGCUUUACACAUGCAAGUCGAACGGCAGCACGAAAAGAGCUUGCUCUUUUUGGUGGCGAGUGGCGAACGGGUGAGUAAUGUAUCGGAACGUACCCAGUAGCGGGGGAUAACUACGCGAAAGCGUGGCUAAUACCGCAUACGCCCUACGGGGGAAAGGGUGGGAUUGCAAGACCUCUCACUAUUAGAGCGGCCGAUAUCGGAUUAGCGAGUUGGUGGGGUAAAGGCUCACCAAGGCAACGAUCCGUAGCUGGUUUGAGAGGAUGACCAGCCACACUUGGACUGAGACACGGCCCAGACUCCGACGGGAGGCAGCAGUGGGGAAUUUUGGACAAUGGGGGAAACCCUGAUCCAGCCAUCCCGCGUGUGCGAUGAAGGCCUUCGGGUUGUAAAGCACUUUUGGCAGGGAAGAAACGGCGCUGACUAAUACUUGGCGCAACUGACGGUACCUGCAGAAUAAGCACCGGCUAACUACGUG